rnacentral:ncRNA from 1 species
GCUAUGGAGUAUGAUACCAGACGCUAGUAGCUUGCGAGUAAUCGCGGUGAGGGCGCAUACGAUGAAAUAGCAA